rnacentral:lncRNA from 1 species
UCCGUGACGCCUAAAGUCUUAUAGUUUAUGGUCCUAAUCAGAGAUGGGUCUGCCCUCAAAAAGAGUGACAGAUGGAUAGACCACACCUUUGACAGCCCUUGGCUGGUUAAGACCAAAGCAAAGGGCUGCACCAAGAAAUAAUUACUUUAGACUCCCCCGUGCGGUCUCCGCUCCUUCGUCGCUCCUAUAGUAGUAAGCCUAUACCUACACUCGUUCGUAUUGACAUUGGCUGAUUGAAUCAAUGAGGGAAAGCCGGGAUUUGUGAACGUUCACUGAAAUGGGGCAGCUAUCUCAACUCCUAGGUAUAGUAGUACUCGCUCGAAUCUAAUCUAUAAGAGGAAGGCUGUCAAAUAA